ensembl:lncRNA
CCGCAGUAAGUUAUAAAAAUCAGUUUUUAUUAACUCAUAAUAAAAUUAGUUUUUAUAAUAAGUUAAAUAAUAGUAAAGGAAAAACUUUCGUUAAGUAUGUUCGUGAUUAUAACGCAAAAAAAUGUGAAAAAAAUGGAACAAAACACAUAAACAAAAAUAUAGCUAUAAAUUUUUUUUUAAAAAUCGAGUGUAUUAUUUAUAUGAUUGAAAAACAAAAAUGUAAGAGCAUUAUAAAAAAUAUCAUUGUAUUAAAACAAAUUAUACAAAAUAAUGUGCCACUAUUUUUAUGUAUACAAAAAAAACUGCUUCGACAUUACAAUGGGCAAUGUACAGAACCAUCUAAUAUUUAUUCAAUUUUUUGCCAAAUAAAUAAAUUGAUUAAAAAAAAAAUAUAUAUAUCAUGCUAUAAUAAUAUGUUGAAUCAAAUUAAUAACUAUGCAGAAUGGACAACUUUUGUUUUUUCUUCCAAAGUAAAUGAACAUACAUGGAUAAAGGCUUGUGUGUUAUAUAUGCAUUUCUUUAUAUAUAUGUUUACUUUGUAUAUUCAACUAUUACAUAAGAGUCUAUUAAAAUAUAAAACGGAUGCAAAAAAAAUUUAUAUACUAUUCAAAAUUAUAGUUAGGAAUGAUUAUGAUUCUUUUGGUAAAAGAUAUAGGAGAAAAAAAAUAGUGCAUAAUGGGAAAAGAGUGUUAAUAAAAAAAAGAUUCCUUAUGUUGAGAGGUAAUAAUGGUAAUAUCAUUAGGGGUGGCAGUAGUAGUAAUAACAACAAUUGCGAGAGUAGCUAUAACUACAUACUAGGGGAUACCGUUUUUUACAAAAGCUUGUUUUUCUCCAUUAUUUACACUAUUUUAAAAACAAAAAACAUCCUUGACUAUUACACUGACUUAAAUAAUUGUUAUAAGAGUAAUACAAAAGGGAAAGAAAACAUAAAACACAUUGCAUUAUUACAAUUUGUAUUAGUUUUAUUAAAAAUUUUGAAUAAUACUCAUAAAAGCAAUUAUAAGUUAAAACAUUGUAAUGAUAACAAAACAAAAAUCUAUAAGUUAAAAAUAAAAAAGUUAUGUAUUUUAAUUAAAAAUCAAAUCAUAUAUAUACUGUUAAAAAAAAAAAUGUUUAACUCAUUUGAAAAUAAUUAUAUUAUGUUAUGUAAAAAACGUUAUUAUAAGAUAAGAAAGAAAAACUUUGAAUGGAAAAAAAAUUCCCAAAAAAUAAUGAACAUUUUAAUUAAUGGAAAUAAAAAAAAAAGAAAUGAAUCUUAUAAAUAUUAUAAAGUAUAUGAACAAUUUCUUAUAUUAUUGAAAAAAAACAAAAAAAUGUUUAAAAAAAAAAAAGAUCCAAUGAGAAUAAGAACUUUUCAAAAUGACAUUUAUUUGUUUAAUUAUAGAAAUUCGAACAUUAGGAAAAAUAAAUAUAUGCUUUUUGAUAUACAAAAAAUAAAUAAAAUAAGUAUUAAACUGAAUGAAUUUUACAUAUACAUGAUUAAUAAAUAUUUUUUAUAUUACAUUAUAUUAAUAAAUAGUAAAAUAAUAUCAACACAUGUGUUUAUGUUUAUGAAACAAUUUUUAAAAAUUAUGAUUUUAAUAUGUGAACAAAAAUCUUUUACUUUAGAAUUUUAUUUAUAUAAAAUAAAAGUUUUAGAGUUCAUGUUGUAUUCUGUAAAUUCGUUAGUCGUAGUUGCCAAUGAGCAAGGGGUAAACGUAGAAAAUAGGGACAAUAGUACCAUUACUGCAACUACAACUGCAACUACAACUGCCACUGCCACUACAACUGCCACUGCCACUACAACUGCAACUGCAACUACAACUGCAACUGCAACUACAACUGCCACUGCCACUAUAACAUUUGCAAAUGCUAAUAAUAGUAACAAACAUUGUUACAAAAAUUAUAGUAAUAUAAAUAGCAGUGACAAAAAAAUUCCACCAUUAAACUUAAAUUCUAUUAAUGCGUACAAAACAAACAAUAUAAAAAGUCAUAUUAUAAACCAACAUAACAUAUAUAUCGCUCCAUUAUCCAUAGGACGUAUUAGUAAGUCAUCUACAUGUUUAGAUAAUAAAAACACAACAAUUACACGCGAACAUUCGUCGAAAGUUCUUUCAAACUCAUAUGAUUCUGAAACAUUGCAUUGUAAAUCAAACAAUAGUAAAUAUAGUUUAUUUUUAGGUACAGAAAAAAAGAAAAGACAAAAAAAAAAUUUACUUUUUCACAUUUUUCCAAUAAGAAAUAAAAGAAAAAAAAAGCAAAACAAAAUUAGUCAUAAAGGACAAACAAUACUUAAUCCUUAUAUCUUACGUUUUAUAUUCUCCUUACUAUUAUCCAGUAAUAAAAAAAAUUUAAAUGAUUUUUAUUUUAAUGAAAAUUAUUAUUCUGAUUAUCAAAAAAUAAAUAAAAAUAUAGGGAAAAAAAUAUUUUUAAAAAAUAAAAAAAUAAAAAAAUUAUUAAACGAGUAUAUAAAAAUACUAAAUGAGUUUUUUACAUUUAACAAAUUUAGUAAUUCAGAAGAAAUAGAUAUUAUGAAAAUUAUGCAAAACUAUUGCAACCAUAGCAUAAAUAAAACAUCUGGGAUGAAACACAAAAACAGGUGUGACCAGCAUGGAAAUUACCGCUACAAAAACAAGCACAACGCAUUAGCAAUUCUUAAACCCAAACAAAUGAAUAACAAAAGCUAUGAAUUACUUUAUAAUCUGUCAAUAAUCAAAAGUAUAAAAUUGUUUACUAUUUUAAAAAAAAUAAAUGAACAUGGUAAUAGCACAAUCUAUUUAUGUUCUCAUUCAUUGUUUCGUAGUAAACUAUUCGUUAUGAAAUUAAUAAGCAUAAAAAAUGAUAUCAAUGCAAAUUAUAUCUUUAAAAAUAUAUACACAGAAAUUAAGUGUCUACUCAGUUUGAGACAUGCAUAUAAACAUAACAUAUAUUCAUAUGGUGUUAUUAAGGAUAAAUAUAACAAUAAUUUUACUUACUAUAUUGUUAUGGAAUAUUAUUUUUGUAAUCUAAAAGAGUUUAUAAGGGAGAUAUAUACAAAUUAUAGAGAAGAAAAAAAGAAAAUAAAAAAAAAAACAAUUUUUUUUUCAUUUGAGUGUGGCGACAGUGUAGGAAAAAAAAACAAAAACAAAAAACAAAAACAAGGGCAAAAACAAGGGCAAAAACAAGGGCAAAAACAAGGUAUAUGUAUAUCCGAGCUAGGAAAACACAAAAGUGUUAAAAACACAAAAAAUAGUCAUUGUUACAUUUUAAAUAAAAAUAAUAUAUAUAAAAAAGAGAUUAUAAAUAUAUACCAAAAUAUAAUCAUAAAAAUUAGUUAUAUUAAAAUAUUAGAUUUGAAAUAUAUAUUAUUUAUUUUAAAUAUUUUUAAACAAAUAGUGGAACAAGUAAGGUACUUACAUAAAAAAGGAGUUGUACAUUUUGAUAUCAAUACUUCUAAUAUUUUAAUGAAUAAAAAAAAGUUUGUUACAUUGUUAAAUACAGGAUGUUUUGCUUUUACGAAUUAUUUCUUUUCCAAAAUUAAUGAACCAUAUUGUAAUGUAAAAAAAAAACAAAAAAAAUAUAUAAAUUCGAAAACACGUAACGUUUCAUCAAUUCCAUGUGAUCAUAACGUUGUUACAAAUUUUGAAACUACCAUUAUGUCUUAUUUUAAUAGUAGCAUAAAAAAUAAUAACAAAAAAAUAGUGUAUAAAAACAAUAAAAAAUACUUACAUCUCGGUUUUAACAACUUAGUAUAUUCAACGCAAGUAUUUACAAAUAAAAACCAUAAACGCAUUGUUAUACCAUCAGCUAUUAUUAGUGAUUUUGGAGAAAGUAAAUUUUUUUUUAGUAAUAAAGAUUUUCUUUUUUUUAGAUCAAACAGGGGUAAUGAAAUGAUGGCAGCUCCAGAGUUAAUGGUAACAUCUGACAAGUCUAUGUCGAUCAAAACUCGUAAGAGCAUAUUGUGUAGUCACAAUACAAGCAGAAAAAAAGAUACAUACAAAACUGCACACACUCAUAGAAAAAAAAUAAAAAAUAGUAGCACUCUAAGUAGUAGAAUAUCAGGAAGUGGCACACCAAACAGUACCAUACUAAAUAGUAAGACACAUAAAUAUACAAAUUUUAAAAACAUUAUUAACAUGAUGCAUAAAAAAUAUAUACUUUUUUUUAAGUGGCCAAUUAAAUAUAAUGAGUUAAGGAGAGAAAAAAUACGAAUAAAAAAAUGUGAAUACAGGGUACUCCAAUUUUUUAAAAAUAUAAAAAAAAUAAAAAUGAUAAUAAAAAAAAAACAUACAUUUAAAAAAAAGAAAAGUAACAUACUAAAAAGUGAUAUAUGGUUAUUAGGUGUUUUAUUAUUCGAAAUGAUUACCAAUGAAAAUUUAUUUAAUGAAUAUAAUUUUCUAUAUAUAAAAAUAUAUAAAAAAAAAGAAUUGAUAGAUAAAAUCAUUGACAAAAAAAUAAAUAAUCAUUUAAAGAGAUUAAAGACUUUUUUAAUUAUUUUUUUCAAUUCGAUUUAAAAAAAAGAAAAAAUAUUUAUGAUGUACAUGUAAAAUGUAACGCACUUUAUAAUACAUAUUUUAAAAAAUUAGAAACAGAGGAACAAAUAUUAAGAAAUAUAUACAAAUCUAAAUUUUGUU